CAUUAAAGAGUUCUAUAACUCCCAAACCCAUGUGAACAUACCUAACGUUGCCUCGGCAGGUCGCACCUACCUUGUAGCACCCUACCCUGUAGGGCCUACCCGGGAGGUGCGGGUAAGCCUGCCGGCGGCCCACCAAACUCUGUUUGAUAUUGAAUUCUGAACCUAUAACUAAAUAAGUUAAAACUUUCAACAACGGAUCUCUUGGUUCUGGCAUCGAUGAAGAACGCAGCGAAAUGCGAUAAGUAAUGUGAAUUGCAGAAUUCAGUGAAUCAUCGAAUCUUUGAACGCAUAUUGCGCCCAUUAGUAUUCUAGUGGGCAGGACCGUUCGAGCGUCAUUUCAACCCUUAAGCCUUCGUUGCUUAGUGUUGGGAGCCUACGGCAACGUAGCUCCUCAAAGUUAGUGGCGGAGUUGGUUCACACUCUAGACGUAGUAAUUUUUUAUCUCGCCUAUUAGUUGGACUAAUCCCCUGCCGUAAAACCCCCAAUUUAUCAAGGUUGACCUCGAAUCGGUUCAGACAAACUCGCUAAAUUGAAGCAUCUUAGUCAGCGAAGGAAAAGAAACCAACAGGGAUUGCCCUAGUAACGGCGAGUGAAGCGGCAACAGCUCAAAUUUGAAAUCUGGCCCUCGGGUCCGAGUUGUAAUUUGUAGAGGAUGCUUUUGGCGCGGUGCCUUCCGAGUUCCCUGGAACGGGACGCCUUAGAGGGUGAGAGCCCCGUACGGUUGGACACCAAGCCUCUGUAAAGCUCCUUCGACGAGUCGAGUAGCUUGGGAAUGCUGCUCUAAAUGGGAGGUAAAUUUCUUCUAAAGCUAAAUAUUGGCCAGAGACCGAUAGCGCACA
rnacentral:rRNA from 1 species